rnacentral:rRNA from 1 species
UACAGAGACUGCAAGCGUUAUUCGGAUUCAUUGGGCGUAAAGGGUGCGUAGGCGGUCUUCUAAGUUUGAUGUGAAAUCCCGGGGCUCAACCCUGGAAUUGCAUUGAAUACUGGAGGACUAGAGUACCGGAGAGGAAACUGGAAUUUACGGUGUAGCAGUGAAAUGCGUAGAGAUCGUAAGGAAGACCAGUGGCGAAGGCGAGUUUCUGGACGGUAACUGACGCUGAGGCACGAAGGCCAGGGGAGCAAACGGG